UAAGCGGAGGAAAAGAAACCAACAGGGAUUGCCUUAGUAGCGGCGAGUGAAGCGGCAAAAGCUCAAAUUUGAAAUCUGGCGCCUUCGGUGUCCGAGUUGUAAUUUGAAGAUUGUAACCUUGGGGUUGGCUCUUGUCUAUGUUUCUUGGAACAGGACGUCACAGAGGGUGAGAAUCCCGUGCGAUGAGAUGCCCAAUUCUAUGUAAGGUGCUUUCGAAGAGUCGAGUUGUUUGGGAAUGCAGCUCUAAGUGGGUGGUAAAUUCCAUCUAAAGCUAAAUAUUGGCGAGAGACCGAUAGCGAACAAGUACAGUGAUGGAAAGAUGAAAAGAACUUUGAAAAGAGAGUGAAAAAGUACGUGAAAUUGUUGAAAGGGAAGGGUUUGAGAUCAGACUCGAUAUUUUGUGAGCCUUGCCUUCGUGGCGGGGUGACCCGCAGCUUAUCGGGCCAGCAUCGGUUUGGGCGGUAGGAUAAUGGCGUAGGAAUGUGACUUUACUUCGGUGAAGUGUUAUAGCCUGCGUUGAUGCUGCCUGCCUAGACCGAGGACUGCGAUUUUAUCAAGGAUGCUGGCAUAAUGAUCCCAAACCGCCCGUCUUGAAACACCGGGACCA
rnacentral:rRNA from 1 species